CCUACGGGUGGCUGCAGUGGGGAAUUUUGGACAAUGGGCGCAAGCCUGAUCCAGCCAUGCCGCGUGAGUGAAGAAGGCCUUCGGGUUGUAAAGCUCUUUCGGCGGGGAAGAAAUUGCACUGGCUAAUACCUGGUGUAGAUGACGGUACCCGCAUAAGAAGCACCGGCUAACUACGUGCCAGCAGCCGCGGUAAUACGUAGGGUGCGACCGGGAGUCGGGAUUACUGGGCGGAAUGCGUACGUCAGAUGUGAAAUCCCCGGGCUCAACCUGGGAACUGCAUUUGAGACUGCACGGCUAGAGGAUGGCAGAGGGGGGUAGAAUUCCACGUGUAGCAGUGAAAUGCGUAGAGAUGUGGAGGAAUACCGAUGGCGAAGGCAGCCCCCUGGGCUAUUUCUGACACUCAUGCACGAAAGCGUGGGGAGCAAACAGGAUUAGAUACCCGUGUAGUC
rnacentral:rRNA from 1 species